GAAAUGCGAUAAGUAAUGUGAAUUGCAGAAUUCAGUGAAUCAUCGAAUCUUUGAACGCACCUUGCGCUCCUCGGUAUUCCUUGGAGCAUGCCUGUUUGAGUAUCGUGAAAUCUUCAAAGUAAAUCUUUUGUUCACUCAAUUGGUUCUACUUUGGUAUUGGAGGUUUAUUGCAGCUUCACACCUGCUCCUCUUUGUGCAUUAGCUGGAUUCUCAGUGUUAUGCUUGGUUCCACUUGGCGUGAUAAGUUAAUUUAAUCGCUGAGGACACUCUCUCUCUAUAACCAAAAGGGGGGGGGGAGUGGCCAAGGUAAAUACAGAUGAACCCGCUUCUAAUAGUCCAUUGACUUGGACAAAAACUAUUUAUUAUGAUCUGAUCUCAAAUCAGGUAGGACUACCCGCUGAACUUAAGCAUAUCAAUAAGCGGAGGAAAAGAAACU
rnacentral:rRNA from 1 species